ACUCCUACGGGAGGCAGCAGUCGAGAAUUUUUCACAAUGGGGGAAACCCUGAUGGAGCGACGCCGCGUGGGGGAUGAAUGGCUUCGGCCCGUAAACCCCUGUCAUUCGCGAACAAGUUGGUUCAAUUAACACCUGAACCAUUGAUAGUAGCGGAAGAGGAAGGGACGGCUAACUCUGUGCCAGCAGCCGCGGUAAUACAGAGGUCCCAAGCGUUGUUCGGAUUCACUGGGCGUAAAGGGUGCGUAGGCGGUCGGGUAAGUCUGAUGUGAAAUCUCACAGCUUAACUGUGAAACUGCAUUGGAUACUAUUCGGCUUGAGAGUUGGAGGGGGGACUGGAAUUCUUGGUGUAGCAGUGAAAUGCGUAGAUAUCAAGAGGAACACCAGUGGCGAAGGCGAGUCCCUGGACAACUUCUGACGCUGAGGCACGAAAGCUAGGGGAGCAAACAGGAUUAGAUACCCUGGUAGUCCUAGCCGUAAACGGUGCUUAUUUGCUGUAAAAGGAAUCGACCCCUUUUGUGGCGUAGCAAACGCGUUAAAUAAGCCGCCUGGGAAGUACGGUCGCAAGAUUAAAACUCAAAGGAAUUGACGG
rnacentral:rRNA from 1 species